UAUCAAUUUUCAUUUCAAUUUCCAAGUUCCAACCCUUCCUUUUAGCUCCGCCCGUCCGCCACUCUGCCGCCUCCGCUCCGCCUACUCCUCCCACUCAGUCCGGCGCAUCUCAGUCUCCGCCUCCAUUCGCGCUAUUCCAGUGGUUGUUUAUGUCUAAGAUUAAGCUUGUCCCCGAGUGAAAUUAGCACUUUCCUCUAGAAGCGGCACUGGCACUGCAACACAUUGCUUUUCAAUUGAUUUUGCCACCAAACAGACGACUUCCAGUUAAUUGCUGCCUCAGGCCCUCUGUGACUGUGAGUUUCUUAUUCUGUCACUGGAAUUUGGAAAUAGUAUAUAUUGCCCUGUGAAAUUGUGAAUUGCAUUGUGAAUUGAUUAUAGUAUUGGCCUUUUAGAUGUGAAUUGCUUAUAGUAUUGCUAUG